AGCAUAUCAAUAAGCGGAGGAAAAGAAACUAACAAGGAUUCCCCUAGUAACUGCGAGUGAAGCGGGAAAAGCUCAAAUUUAAAAUCUGUCAGUCUUUGACUGUCCGAGUUGUAAUCUAGAGAAGUGUUAUCCGCGCUGGACCGUGUACAAGUCUCCUGGAAUGGAGCGUCAUAGAGGGUGAGAAUCCCGUCUUUGACACGGACUGCCAGGGCUUUGUGAUGCGCUCUCAAAGAGUCGAGUUGUUUGGGAAUGCAGCUCAAAAUGGGUGGUAAAUUCCAUCUAAAGCUAAAUAUUGGCGAGAGACCGAUAGCGAACAAGUACCGUGAGGGAAAGAUGAAAAGAACUUUGGAAAGAGAGUUAAACAGUACGUGAAAUUGCUGAAAGGGAAACGCUUGAAGUCAGUCGCGUUGGCCAGGGAUCAACCUUGCUCUUGCUUGGUGUACUUUCUGGUUGACGGGUCAGCAUCAAUUUUGACUGUUGGAAAAAGGUCAAGGGAAUGUGGCAUCUUUGGAUGUGUUAUAGCCYUUGGUUGUAUACAAUGGUUGGGAUUGAGGAACUCAGCACGCCGCAAGGCCGGGUUUUUAACCACGUACGUGCUUAGGAUGCUGGCAUAAUGGCUUUAAUCGACCCGUCUUGAAACACGGACCAAGGAGUCUAACAUGCCUGCGAGUGUUUGGGUGGAAAACUCGAGCGCGCAAUGAAAGUGAAAGUUGAGAUCCCUGUCGUGGGGAGCAUCGACGCCCGGACCAGACCUUUUGUGACGGUUCCGCGGUAGAGCAUGUAUGUUGGGACCCGAAAGAUGGUGAACUAUGCCUGAAUAGGGUGAAGCCAGAGGAAACUCUGGUGGAGGCUCGUAGCGAUUCUGACGUGCAAAUCGAUCGUCAAAUUUGGGUAUAGGGGCGAAAGACUAAUCGAACCAUCUAGUAGCUGGUUCCUGC
rnacentral:rRNA from 1 species